GAUGAACGCUGGCGGCGUGCUUAACACAUGCAAGUCGAACGGAAAGGCCAGUGCCUGCACUGGUACUCGAGUGGCGAACGGGUGAGUAACACGUGGGUGAUCUGCCCUGCACUUCGGGAUAAGCCUGGGAAACUGGGUCUAAUACCGGAUAGGACAAUGGUUUGGAUGCCGUUGUGGAAAGUUUUUUCGGUGUGGGAUGAGCUCGCGGCCUAUCAGCUUGUUGGUGGGGUAAUGGCCUACCAAGGCGUCGACGGGUAGCCGGCCUGAGAGGGUGUACGGCCACAUUGGGACUGAGAUACGGCCCAGACUCCUACGGGAGGCAGCAGUGGGGAAUAUUGCACAAUGGGCGCAAGCCUGAUGCAGCGACGCCGCGUGGGGGAUGACGGCCUUCGGGUUGUAAACUCCUUUCGCUAGGGACGAAGCGUAUUUGUGACGGUACCUGGAGAAGAAGCACCGGCUAACUACGUG
rnacentral:rRNA from 1 species